AAUAAUAUUUUAAUAAUAUUUUAGGUUUAUGAUUGUUUUGUAAGAAAUAACUUUUAUAUUUAGUAGUGUUUAAAGAAAAAUGUUUAUAGUAAUUUAUAGUGAAAAGUACAGUAAUGGAUAAUUAUAUUUUAUGUGAAAGAAUAAUUAAUUUUAGUACCUUUGGUAUCAGGGUUUAUUAAUUGUAUAUGAUAUAUAUCAUAUUCCCGAAAUUAAAGGAUCUACUAUAAAAUGAUUGUUUAUGUUUCAAUAUAAAAUUAAAUUUUAUAGUAGAAAUUAUAUGUUAUUCAACUUUAAUAUAUCUGGUUUUUUAAUAAAAGUAUUUAAUACUUGACUUGUGUAUAUAAGGUUUCUUUAAAAAUAAAUUUUAUACAAGUCUUAUAUAAGGGGGGAUAAGCUCUCUUAUAUUUUUAUAACUAUAUUUAUAAACAAAAUAUUGUAGGUUUAAUAACAUCCAUCAUUUAUUUCGUUAUAGUAAAGUUUUAUUUAUAUUUUAUUUAUUUUUAGUUUAAAUAUUUAUUAAAAUGUUUUAUAUAAUAUAUUUGUAUAAGUAAUAAUGAUAAAAUUAGUAGUAUAUUAUAUAUAAUAUAGUAACUCGGCAAAUAUUACCUUCGCCUGUUUAACAAAAACAUGUCUUUUUGAAUAUAAUAUGAAGUCGGGCCUGCCCAAUGAUUUUAUUUAAUGGCCGCAGUAUCCUAACUGUGCAAAGGUAGCAUAAUCAAUUGUCUUUUUAUUGAAGACUAGAAUGAAAGGUUUGACGAGAGGUGAGCUUUCUUUAUUAUAAAAAAUGAAUUUUACAUUUAAGUUAAAAGGCUUAAAUAUUAUUAUAGGACGAGAAGACCCUAUAGAGCUUUAUAAAUAUUAAAUAUUGAUUAAUUAGAAUAUAAUAAAAUAUAUUUAUACUUUAUUUUGUUGGGGUGACAUAUAAAUUUAUUUAACUUUAUAUUAUUAAUUUUCAUAAAUUAGUGUGUUAUUGAUCCAUUUUUAAUGAUUAUAAGAUUAAGCUACCUUAGGGAUAACAGCGUAAUUUCUUUGGAGAGUUCUGAUCGAUAAAGAAGUUUGCGACCUCGAUGUUGGAUUAAAAUAAGUUACAGGUGUAGCAGCUUGCUAACUAAGUCUGUUCGACUUUUAAAUUUUUACAUGAUCUGAGUUCAAACCGGCGUGAGCCAGGUUGGUUUCUAUCCUUAAUAUAAUUAAUAUACUUUAGUACGAGAGGACCAGGUAUAUGGAAUAUUUUUAUAUAUAUUGAAUAUUUAUU
rnacentral:rRNA from 1 species